rnacentral:rRNA from 1 species
AUUGAACGCUAGCGGGAUGCUUUACACAUGCAAGUCGAACGAGUGGCGGACGGGUGAGUAAUAUAUCGGAACGUGCCCAGUAGCGGGGGAUAACUACUCGAAAGAGGGCUAAUACCGCAUACUCACGGAUGAACCCAUAUGGGAUUAGCUAGUAGGUGAGGUAAUGGCUCACCUAGGCGACGAUCCCUAGCUGGGCUGAGAGGAUGAUCAGGCGCACUGGGACUGAGACACGGCCCCGACUCCGACGGGAGGCAGCGGUGGGGAAUAUUGCACAAGGGGGGAAAGCCGGAUACAGCCAGCCCGCGUGUAUGAUGAAGGCCUGCGGGUUGUAAAGUACUUUUGGCAGAGAAGCGGUAUCUGCAGAAUAAGCACCGGCUAACUACGUGCCAGCAGCCGCGGUAAUAC